AUUGAACGCUGGCGGCAGGCCUAACACAUGCAAGUCGAACGCGUGGCAGACGGGUGAGUCAUGUCUGGGAAACUGCCUGAUGGAGGGGGAUAACUACUGGAACCGGUAGCUAAUCCCGCAUACCAUCAGAUGUGCCCAGGUGGGAUUGGCUAGUUGGUGGGGUAACGGCUCACCAAGGCAACGAUCCCUAGCUGGUCUGAGAGGAUGACCAGCCACACUGGAACUGAGACACGGUCCAGACUCCUACGGGAGGCAGCAGUGGGGAAUAUUGCACAAUGGGCGCAAGCCUGAUGCAGCAAUGCCGCGUGUAUGAAGAAGGCCGUCGGGUUGUAAAGUACUGUUAGCGGGGAGGCGGUACCCGAAGAAGAAGCACCGGCUAACUCCGUGCCAGCAGCCGCGGUAAUAC
rnacentral:rRNA from 1 species